rnacentral:rRNA from 1 species
AUUGAACGCUAGCGGGAUGCCUUACACAUGCAAGUCGAACGAGUGGCGGACGGGUGAGUAAUGUCUGGGAAACUGCCCGAUGGAGGGGGAUAGCUACUGGAAACGGUAGCUAAUACCGCAUACCAUCGGAUGUGCCCAGAUGGGAUUAGCUAGUAGGUGGGGUAACGGCUCACCUAGGCGACGAGCCCUAGCUGGUCUGAGAGGAUGACCAGCCACACUGUAAUGGAGACACGGUCCAGACUCCUACGGUAGGCAGCAGUGGGGAAUAUUGCACAAUGGGCGCAAGCCUGAUGCAGCCAUGCCGCGUGUAUUAAGAAGGCCUUCGGGGUGUAAAGUACUUUCAGCGAGGAGGCGUUACUCGCAGAAGAAGCACCGGCUAACUCCGUGCCAGCAGCCGCGGUAAUUC